UUGUUACUGGAUCAUAUAGUUCAUUGUUACGUCCAGUAUCAAUCAAAGUGUAUGGGGAAGCAAACGGCGCGAGGGUAUCAACUCGGGAUGAUCACCGUCGGAUGCCAUACAAAAACAACAUUGUUAUAUGAAAGUUCCCUUCAUGUAUCGCGACAGCAUAACCCAAUGGCGGCAAUGAUGCGUCGUGUUCAAAGACCUCCAAGUGCCAGAUGUAGGGUUAGCAAACAAAACCCUAGUCAGCGUCACUUUAAACUAGCU
rnacentral:lncRNA from 1 species